GACGAACGCUGACGGCGUGCUUAACACAUGCAAGUCGAACGGAAAGGCCCUGCUUUUGUGGGGUGCUAGAGUGGCGAACGGGUGAGUAACACGUGAGUAACCUGCCCUUGACUUUGGGAUAACUUCAGGAAACUGGGGCUAAUACCGGAUAGGAGCUCCUGCUGCAUGGUGGGGGUUGGAAAGUUUCGGCGGUUGGGGAUGGACUCGCGGCUUAUCAGCUUGUUGGUGGGGUAGUGGCUUACCAAGGCUUUGACGGGUAGCCGGCCUGAGAGGGUGACCGGCCACAUUGGGACUGAGAUACGGCCCAGACUCCUACGGGAGGCAGCAGUGGGGAAUAUUGCACAAUGGGCGGAAGCCUGAUGCAGCAACGCCGCGUGCGGGAUGACGGCCUUCGGGUUGUAAACCGCUUUCGCCUGUGACGAAGCGUGAGUGACGGUAAUGGGUAAAGAAGCACCGGCUAACUACGUG
rnacentral:rRNA from 1 species